AUUGAACGCUGGCGGCAGGCCUAACACAUGCAAGUCGAACGAGUGGCGGACGGGUGAGUAAUGUCUGGGAAACUGCCCGAUGGAGGGGGAUAACUACUGGAAACGGUAGCUAAUACCGCAUACCAUCGGAUGUGCCCAGAUGGGAUUUGCUUGUAGGUGAGGUAACGGCUCACCUAGGCGACGAUCCCUAGCUGGUCUGAGAGGAUUACCAGCCACACUGGAAAUGAAACAGGGUCGAGACUCCUAUGUGGGGGACGAGUGGGGAAUAGUGAAAACUGGGCGCAAGCCUGAUGCAGCCUUGCAGCGUGUAAGAAGAAGGCCUUCGGGUUGUAAAGUACUUUCAGCGGGGAGGCGUUACUCGCAGAAGAAGCACCGGCUAACUCCGUGCCAGCAGCCGCGUUGAUUC
rnacentral:rRNA from 1 species